ACAGGGAGCUGAUGGAGAGGUCAAGGAGGAGCCUCAGAGAAGGUCUGCCAGGUUAUCUGCGAAACCAACUCCUCCUAAACCUGAACCCAAACCCAAGAAAACACCCAAGAAAGAGAAAGAAGUGAAUGAUAAAAAGGAGGACAAAAAGUCAAAGGCAAAGGCUGAGGAGGCCAAGGAGGAGAACCAGUCAGAAAAUGGAGAGACCAAGACUAAUGAGGUUGAAAAGACUCCGGAGGCGGAGCCUGAGGAAGAGAAGGAGGAUACUAAGGCUGAGUAGUGCCCCGCCCAUCCAUCUACUCUUCUCUUUCCCCAUCCGUCCGUCAACCACUUCUUCCCCUUCUCCCUCCCCACCCUCUCUUUCUCUCUCCCACUUUUACUCCUUCUCUCUCUCUCUCUCUCUCCCUCCCCCUCUCCUUCUGUUUCAGCAGGUUCCCAGACCCAAAUGGAUCCCUCUAUCCACAACUGUCACCAGAGGAAUAUUUUUAUCAACGAUUUUGUAAAUACUGGUUCAGGUUUUUAGCACAAAAACAAAAAGCUAAAAGAAGGGGGUUUUCAGCCGUGAUCUAAGUUGUCUCCAACAUGAGAGUUGUGGAAAAAGGCGGCAACUUUCGAUUUUGGUUUAGUUUUGUUGGUUUGGUUUUAUUUGUUUGAUUUUAAAUUUUUUCUUUUUAGUUGUUUUAUUUUUUUAAGCUGAUGGUCUGUAUCUAAUGAUGAAA
rnacentral:lncRNA from 1 species